ensembl:lncRNA
CGCUCUAUGAUUCAGCACAGGAGGGAGGGGGUGAGCGAGUCAUGAGUGAUUCGCGCGCUCUGCGAUUCAGCACAGGAGGGAGGGGGUUAGUGAGUCAUGAGUGAUUUGCUUCCCCUACGAUUCAGCACAGGAAGGGAGGGGGUGAGUAGCUCAAAUGUGCUGUUAGCAUGUUAGCAGAGCGAUGCUACUGUGAACCGAGGAGCUAUUGUCUUGAUGUGAGCUUCUACUCAGGGUUUUUUCUUCCAGUUCAGAGCAGAAAUGUUUUUGUUAAGAUACUGGAUGUUGUGUUUUUCUUCACAAUUUGAAUUAUAAGCUAGAUAUAUUUCUACUAAUGAAAUUAGUUUGCUAACAGCAACAGGGAUGAGUCAGUGAGUCAGUUGCGCUUGUGAAUCAUGAUUCACGAGUCAGUAAAGUGAUUCUCGAGUAUUGAACGAUUCGUUCAUGAUUCGCGCAUCACUACUUCAUACUUCAUUCAAUAUGGAGGCAAGGCUCAUCAACGCCGUAGCAAACCACCCGGAGCUGUACGACACCAGCUGCUUUCUGUACCGAGACAGGAAUAUAAAGGACCGAGCUUGGAGGAAAAUAUGUGAAGAGAUCGGGCAACCUGAGCCAACUGAUUCUGCAGCAGAGCCAUCCCCUGUUGCUUCUCCUGACUCCCCAGUCCCUGGUCCCUCCACUCCUGCUGCUGCACCCACAGUCCCGCAGAGGAGGACAGCUCCGAGGCGGACGAGGGAGGGGUCCAAGGACGGUCCAUCGGUGGUGGAGCUGGCCAUCCUGGUGUCCCUGAAGAGGCCACGCCAGUCUCCAAUGGAGCUCCUCAGCCUUGUUCCUGCUCUGGAGAGCAGCUGGGUCCUUUUUAUUCUUGUCUCUCUUUAAAUACUUAUAUUUUAUAUAUUUAUGUUUAAUGUUUUUCUGUUUGAGAAUUUUAAUAUUAUUUCAAAUAAUUUUUGUAAUGACUAAUGUCUCAGUUCCACUACACAGCAAAUAUUGGCACACAACUUGACACAUGUAGAAUUUAUUUCAUAUUAUACUAAUGAAAAAAUAUACUACUAUAUAGGAACAUAGUGAAGACCAAUUAUUUAAGAGAAUAAAGAGAGGUUAGUUUAUUUUGGAGUAGAGCUCCAUUUAUUAAGAACAUUUUUAAAAAGGCAGGAACGCUCUUUAGAGGUUUGUGGGUGGCUCAGAGCCGUUGUGGGGAAGUCAGUGGGACUUCAAAUAGGCUAUUCUUUUGGCUGCCAAGACACUGCUCCCUUCGCCGAGAAGUGGGCCAUGAACUUCUCCCUCACCAGGACAGCCUCUCUGGAGGAGUUGUUGGCUGCUACACAACCCAGGCCUUUUUUGAAAAAUUAACCUGUGAUAAGACAGCAUAUCAAGAUAGAAUUGUUAUUAUCAUAUAACUAAAGAUGAACCAAACUGUUCACAAUUUUAUCUAGCUCUCAGUUUUAGGAAAGGCUGGUGACCCCUGUUAUAGAGUCUGACAGCUGCAGGGAUUAUAUACAAACAUUCAACU